ACUGCCUUGAAGUCUGCAACAGUGGAAGAACCAAGAUUUUCAUCUUACUGGGAUUUUUCUUCUAAAUCAGGGCAAACUGAUUUCUUUUACGGGCAGGGAAGAGAAGAAUGGAAAUAAUGGGAAAACCUGAGAAACCCCAAGUUUUCAGGUUUUCAUUCCCCCACUGACAUGAUGAUAAUCAGAAAUUUAUGUUAGAAAAUUCAUUUUUUCCACCUUACCUUCUACUGCAACCCAGGAGUCAAUUUAGUACUAAGAGCUUUGGAAGCUGCCUCGGCUGAGGUUUUAACUUGACAAGCUCACACGUGGAGGCCCAGGGCUUGAAAGCUGAGGAACCCGUGCACCAGCAACCAGUGUCACCAGUGGGAGAGCAGCUCCUCCCUGGUUCAGAGGGGCUCUCUGCGUUCAGAGUCCUCCUCUGCCUAGGGGUCCAACUGCACCUGCUGCAGGUGGAGUGAGAGCUGACCAGGCUGGCAGGGCUCAGACCUUGUUUCCUAAGUCCUGGUUACAUUUUGGAUUAUUUCUAUUAAAGAAAGAGACAUAAGCGGGAGCUGAGUUGGAGCCAGUAGCUCCAGUAGCAUGGGCAAGCAAAACACACACAAUGUAUCUGCCUGGGAAAAAAACCUACCCAGUUAGAUACUGCAGCUUGCAAAGUCUGUGGCAGUGAUGUGUCCUCUUGCACUGUAAUUUCAGCCUGUCCCAGAAGCGAUACCGAGCAUGCAAAACUAGACUGUACAAAUAAAAUGGAAAUGGGAAGCAGCCACCAAUAUAAAAUAAACAAGGAAAUGAAUCUGCCUGAAUUCUGUUUGCGUUGUAAAAGAUAAAAGAGAGAGUGUGGCCAGGUUUUCUCUCCCCUUCCUUGUCAAAGCUAAGUCCUUCAUUUCACACCAGUACACACCGACAUGCCAGGAACAGAAUGAAGCAGUCGGAGCACCUGAUCUGCAAAGCCACUUCGCUAUAAACUGCUCUCAGCAGGGCUGGGCAAGACUAUUAGAAACAACUAUAAAAUGGCAAGGAAUUAUGUUCCUUGCUUGCACAGGUUAACAAGCAGAAAGUAAAAAUGAAGCAACAGCUCCAAGGGUGUAACAAAGCAAUACGUAGCAAAGCCUUGCUUCUGUUGCGCUGAACUACGCCAAAGAAAACACCCUUGUACUCGCACACUGGGAAACAAGAGGCAGAGCAGCCCCACCAGCCAGCACUCCCUUACCAUCAUAGAAUCUGUUUCAAGAGCCACCAGAAAUGAAGAGCUCUGGCUUUGUAAAGACAGUUACAUGUCUGUAUAUGUGAGAGCACAUGAUGUUUCAACAUCACUACGUAACUAGCAGGUAAAUGUGUUUUUCUCUUAAAAUUCUUGUCUCUGUUCUGCUUGCUGCUUGUAUCUGACAAACAACAAUUUGAUUGUAGAUGCUCAGUCUGUUCAAGGACUGCCACACCUUACAGGUUUUUCAUCUUUUUUUCCAGGUCACUUCUGCAUGUGCUGAACAGUAUAGACCACCAACACAAAUACUUGUGACUUCUGGUCAUUCUGCUUUGUUCUGUUUUCCGGCUUUAGCUGCAGCAAAUCCAUUCUUUGUAUCCUACUGUAGCUUAGUUUCUUUUAAGACCACUGGUACAGGACCUUAACAAAUGGAAAUCUGGGAAAUCGAAGUAGACUACAUGGACCAAACCUGCAAGGUUGUAAGGUAUGAAGGGAGAAGUUGCAGCGGUCACCAAGUCCCUGGUACCAUUAGAGAUGACAAUGGGAAGACAUUCCAGGAUGCAGUCAUGACCCAUCAGACACUGCUAUUCAGCAAAACCAGUCAACACAACACGAACGCAAAAUCUCUAAGGGGAAAUCAAGGAAAUCAGCAGAACACCAGUCAGCAGCACAGCCUUGAGAUGAAGGCCAACCACACACUGGGCUGCAACAGCAAGAACUGAGCCAGCAGAAGUCAUCGUCCCCCUUUAUUUAUGCCCUGCCCCAUCCCCAGGCCACACUGAGGAGCUGGCGGGAGUCCAGCAGCGUGUGCAGCUUGUGGCAUCUCCACUCCUGGAGGUGUUAAAAGCUCAGCUGGCCAAGCUGAUCCAACCUGGAGUUAACCUCGCUUUAAGCAGGGGGUUGGGACUAGACCAUCCUCAGGGGUCAUGUUCAACCCAAAUUUUUCUAUGUUUUUACAAUAAUAGCUAAUUAUCUCUACUUCUAAACAUAUAAACAGGUUAACGUAAUUUUAUACUGUUUUAGUGACAUUCUCUUUCUUCUUGAUAUUUAAAAAAACAAAACUCAUGCAGAUGUAAACAUGAAUUGUUUUGUUUCACGAGGCAUGAUUGUCAUUACUCUAUUUUGUUGUGGUGUCAUGCCAAAAAUCAAGUGUUCUGCUCUGUUCCGUAUACUGAAGCAUAAAAGCAGGGGUCAAUAAAGUGCAAUCCUUCCACACACCCCUUGGGCAGUGUAGGCCUAGUAAUGUUGCGUUCAGAAGUAGACAACAGCAGAAGAUCCAUCUUACACUGGAGGUUUUCAAAGAGCAGCAAUACAGGAUGCUGGUGUCUAACUUACGGAGAUGUUAAAAUCCAACAUUUUAGCUGAAGAGCAACAAAAUCAGUGACAACUGUAUAAAUAACCCAAGGAGCGUAAACAAAUCCAAUUUAAACAUAAGACAAUGGCAGAGCUAAGUUACCCACAUUAGGAAACACUGAGCUAGCAGAAUAACCUUAACAAAAAGGCCAUAAAUAAUAAAUAUACAGUGUAUUACUAUCAUGAGACAGAUGCAGUUCCCAUAUCAUUUGUCUUUACUAUUAUGUAUAAAUUAUAUGUAUAUCAUAUAAUAUUAUACUAUUAUAUGUAUAUCAUAUAAAACGCAAAGCUGAAUGUGCUUGUUUGUGCCUACUCUAAUUCUGUUUUACUUUCCAUUGUAAUUCAAUUUCUAUACUUGACAUUAAGAAAUAAAGGAAAGUAUAAACAAUAUAAAAGAAAAAAACCCAAAUCACAUGCUACCUACUGAAAAAUUGUUUGGUUUAUAAUGUGUUAACUUUUCAGGAGACAGUAUACAGUAAUUUGACCUUUUUGUGUACCAUUUAACAUACAUAAUGCAUGA